rnacentral:lncRNA from 1 species
GCCGCAAGCUGCAAUAGAUCUGCAAUGCAGUUAAUUAGUUCCACACUGGGCAGGGCCUAGCACAUGGCAGUAAGGAUUCUUCAUCAAACUGAUGACCUUUGAAAGAGCUGUUUCUAUAGAAAGGAAAGGUCUAAAAUUAAACUACAAAGUGUGAUUUGCUUUUAUGAAUCCAAUGACCAAGACUCCCACUCUCUCCUUUUCUCUUGUCAGCUGCUGCCAAUAUCUGAAGUUUCAUUCAACACCUUGAAAGUCAUUUCCUUACUCCUCAUGCCCCUUGGAAGAUUUAAUUAGAGAUACAUUCAAAGUAGAAUAAACAGAGCAAUAAAGAGAGAAAUUAAAGUAGUGUCAGGAAGUGUCAGUAGCAGAAGAUUGGCCAAGGGAAGAAAUCAAUGGAUCUUCAGGAUGAGAAGGAAAAGUCUGUACACCCAGCCAUUCCUGCCCACCCCCACCCUUCAUACUUCCCUGCAGAAAGUGAGAAUCAACCAGUGAAAAAAAAAGGGAGGUUCCAGGCUUCUUAGGAAGUCACAGGCAGUGAGCACAAUAGUUUAAAGCCUCAAUUUGAAGUCAGACAGAUGGAUAUCCACUUACUGGCUGUGUGAACCUCAGCAAGUCACAACUUCUCUGAUCCUUGCAUUUUGCCUAUAAAAUAGAAAGACUACCAGUACCACCCUUACAGGGUUGUUGGAAAGAAGAAAAGAGAUGAUGAAAGAAAAAGAGCCUGGCCCAGUGAGCCCUGUGGUGGACUUCUAUUAUUAGCUGGAACUCUAGAUGAAAACAGAGGUCAGCUACCCAAUCCUCUACUGCAUUCAGAUAAUGGAAGACACAAACCCUCCCAACCCCAGUGUGUGCAUGCAUGCCUGUGUGUGUAUAAGUAGAAAAAUUCCAUUCUCAAACUGAUUAUUGUUUUCUUAUAAGACAAAACGCGGAGGUGGAGCCAAGAUGGCCGAAUAGGAACAGCUCCAGUCUACAGCUCCCAGCGUGAGCAAUGCAAAAGACGAAUGAUUUCUGCAUUUCCAACCAAGAUGUCAUGGGUCUCCAGAACGCACCAAGUGAGGCCAGAGAGCACUAAGAAGACCAAAUGUGCAGGAGGAGUACAGAGAGACCAGCAGUCACAGGAGCGGCGAUGAGGAAGGUGGGAUCCAAGGAGCAUUGACGACUUGCCCAAGAUUGACAGCCUGCCACCAAGAAGCUACAGAAGCCUGGAGGGGUGGGGGGAUGACAAGAAAACAGAAUGAGAAGCCUAGAGAUAUGCCCUAACCACUAAAGAAGUCGAGGUGACUUCUAAUUCUACAAAAUGAAGAAAGGAAUAUCACCCCAGACAGGAGAUAGAAACAUGUUGAAGUUAUUCUGAUGAGAAUUGGAGUACUCUCGGGGACUAAUUAUUUCUCAUUUCACUUGAGAAUGCAGAGCUUCCCUUUUUGCUUCAUACAGAUAUUUCACCAGCAUUGUUGAUGCUCCUCAGUCAUAACAAAGGUUGUACUUAGCUAUGAAUGAAAGGGCAAAAAAGGAGCAAAAGAAGAAAAGGUAACUGAGGAAGAACUGAAAAGAAGACAGGACCACCCAGCUCGGAUACCAUGCAUUUGCCCUCUCUGCAGGAAGCCAGGUUCUUCAUUCGUUUAUAGUUUAAUCUUCCAGAGCACAGUGUGCAGCAUGUAUUAGUAUUCAGCAAAUGUUUAUUUGUUUGGGUUAAAAGUCAUAAGAUUCCACAGUGAGAUACUACUCCACACCCACAAGGAUGGCUGUAAUCAAAAAGACAGAUAAUAACAAGUGUGAGUAUAAGGGGAUAUGGAAAAAGUGGGACCGUCAUACACUGCCGGUGGGAAUGUAAAGUGGUGUGGGCUCUUUGGAAAACAGUUUUUCACUUCCCCAAAAUGUUACACAGAGAGUUACCAAAUGACCCAGCAAUUCCACUCCUAUAAAUAUAUCCAAAAGAAAUAAAAAUAAAAAUGUGUACCUCAAUGCUCUUAGUAGCAUUAUUUAAAAUAGCCAAAGAGUGGAAACAACCAAAUGCCCAUCAACUAAUGAAUGGAUAAAUGAAAUGUGCUUUAUCUAUACAACAUAAUAUGAUUAGACCAUUAAAAAGAAUGAAGUACUGAUACAUGCUACCACUUAGAUGAACCUGAAAAUGUUAAGUCAGAGAAGCAAGUUACAGAUCACAUAUGGUAUGAUUUCAUUUAUAUGAAAUGUCCAGAAUAGGAAAAUCUUUAGAGACAGAAAGUAGAUUAGUGUUUGCCUAGGGCCGGGGGUUUGGGGGAAAUGGAAAAUGACUGCUAAUGAGUACAGGGUUUCUUUGGGGGAUAAUGAAAUGUUCUAAAGUUAAUCAUGGUGGUGGUUAUAUGACUCUGUGACUAUACUAUAAACCAUCCAACUCUACACUUUAAAUGGUGAACUAUAUGGUAUGUAAAUUACAUUUUAAUGAACUUUUUAAAAAAGUCACAAAGUUACUAUACCUAUGAAAUUCCUUUACCCAUUUAUUCAACAAAUAUUUUAAGUCCCUACUCUGUGCCAAGUAUGUUAGAGGCCUGUACAAAAUGAUAAACACAACAAAAUUCCUGCCUGCUCUCAAGGCAUUUAUACUUUAAGGAGAUGGGGAACAGACAAUAAGUAAAAUCUCAAGGAACUAGAUAAACACAGUGAAUUUAACACAGGCCCUUUGGUAUGCCACCCUCUCCCAAAUUCCAGUAAAGUGACUGCCAAGGACUUAAAAGGUCUAAAAAGAAGAGACAAACAGAACAAAACAGAAAAUAACCCCAGAAAAGCCAUGACAACAAAAAUUUUAACUACGGAAAACUGAUAAGUAGUAUCUGAUUUAGAAGAGCUGAGAAAUAUGAAACCCAAUUGCUUACAGUGUGAAAAGUAAUAAGAAGCAAGUUUCAAAGCCCCAGAAAGUCUUGGGAUGGAAGCACAGGGCAUCUCUUAAGGUUGAGCUUCAGGGGGGUACUGAAAACAGGAGCUGGGUUGAAAGUUGAAGGAGCAGUGAGACAGCCAUCUCUAGAUUUCAUUCCCCAGGCUUCCACUUCUCCUCCUCUGGCCAGGAAACAGGAGUUUACGCUUUGCAGAGGUUGAAGCAGAGAGAGUCUGGACUUAGGGACAAAAUCUGGAGCAGGGCAGAGACACUAUAUCGAAAAUGGGUGUUGAGUAAAAGUAGGCAUACUGAACAGCGAGGUCCCAGUUCCCUUCCCCUGAUCAGCCCCCAGAACCUUGGCAGUUGGCCUCAAACAUCCCAGGCAAAGGCUGGAUGAUUCCUUUCUGGGGAAAAUGAGCCCACCAAUAGAAAAGAACUACAGAUACUGUCAUUAGUGGGUGUCCCAAUAAAACCAUAGGUAAUCUAUCAGUUAGCAAACUCUGCCCAUACAAGCAUAACUGCCAAUUUGAGUUUUAGUGCCUCACCCCUAAAGUAAUGAUACAGAAAUCUUAGGCAUAAAUAGAUAGCCAAAGAUCAUAGGAUAUUUAAGUAAAUUGUCUAUCAUAGAAGACAGAAAUCAAACACGAAACAGGGAAAACCUGGAAGAAGUUUAAACAAUUCAGGGGACAGAAAAAAACUUUUUAAAAAAAUUCAUAAUGAAUAGCUUCAAAGAAAUAAGGGAAGAUAUCACAUCCAUUAAUAGAACAAAUCACUACAGAAAAACAUUCAGGGAAUAAGAAAGUGUUCUUUAGAAAUUACAUAUAUUAAAGCUAAAAUGUUAAAAUAUCAAAGAUUUGAAGACAACAUUAGGAAACUCUCCCUGAAAGAAAAACAAAAGCUGAAGAGAUGGAAAAUAGCUGAUAAAAGAUAAAGAAAUUAGUGAAUCAAUCCAGGACUAACAGAAGUUGUAGACAGAGCAAGCAGAGAAAAUGGCAGAAAGGAAAGUAUUUGAGAAAUAAGUUACAUAAAAGAUAUUCUAAGAACUGAAGAACAUAAAUCACCAGAUUGAAAAGGCCCAGCAAAUGCGUUGUGCAAUUAGUAGAAAAGACCUCCAUUAAGGCACAUCCAAUGAAGUUUCAGAACACAAGGGAAGAAGGGGAGUUAUUUAUAAAAGGUCAGGAAUCCAGAUGACAGAAUUUCAACAGCCAUACUGGAACUCAGUAACUUCAGAGUUCUGAGGGGCAGUACAUCCAAUCUAGAAUUUUAUAACUAACUAAAAUAUCAAGAAUGAAGGUAGAUUACAGACAUGUAACAUCACAGAUAUAAUAGUGCCUUUCAUACACUGUUCUUAAGAUAUUAAAAGAUGUACUUCGCUGAAAUGAAGACAUAAACAAUAAAGAUGGCAAUGGAAUUUAGAAAACAAAAAUUCCAACCUAGGAAAGAAGUAAAGGAAAUAUCCAGAAUGAUAGGAAAGGUAGUCCCAGAACCACAACUGACCAACAACACAGACUGGGCAGGAAAAGAGAGGACUCCAUCAUGGAGAGUUCCAAGCUGGGGAGAGAAAAAAAAUGAGUUAAAAGAGUGCCUGAUGUAUUUGCCUAUUCUGAGAGGACAUUUGUAGGUUUUGCUUUGUUUUGUUUUGUUUUGUUUUUUCCCCCAGACAUUUAGAGGCUAAAUUAGGGGAUAAAUCAAAUGAAACAAAAAAAGCAAAGCUCAUGCUUCUGUAAGAAAGGAAAUCUGGUCUUUACAUUUUGAAGAUCAGUUAUGAAACAAUAUUUACAAAAUCAUCAGGUAAGAUUAUUUAGAAUUUUGAAAGAAAAUACAAGAAAUCUAAGUAUAUGCCUCUAAGGAAAAGGCAUGAGGAAGAAUGGAGGAGAGAAUGAGAGGAUUACCAUUUUUUGACCUAGAUCUUGUAUUACUGUUUAGCUUUUUAAACUAUGUGUGCAUAUUUACUAAAAACAAAAAUCAAGUUUAAAAAUCAAGUAAAUGAAAAACAAGACAAAAGUUUCAAAUUGGGGUGUUGAAAAGGAAAUAAUGAAGAUGAUUUGAAGGUAAGUAAGUGGGAAUGAAUAAUCCUAUGUUAAAUAGGAUGAUCAGGGAAGAACCCUCAAAGGGGUAAUGUUUGAGCUGAGACAAGAAAGAUGAAAGGAUUCAACCAUGACACAAGCCUGGGGAAAGAGUUCCAGGAAGCUGCAAUAGCCAGUGCUAAGGUGCUGAAACUGGAAUGCACUCAGAGUGUUUGAGAACAGAAAGGAGCCCAGCACAGCUGGAGCUUAGAGAGGAGGGCCAAGUGGUGAGGAAUGAAGAGGAAGAGGUAGGCAGAAGCCAUAGCAUAGAGGAGCUCAGUAGCCAAGGAGAGCAGUUUCUAUUUUAUUAAAAAUGUGAUGGGAAGUCACUAAAAGUUUUCAAGCAAGUGGAGUGAAUUGAAUUAACAUUGAGACAAUUGCUCUGGCUGCUCUGCAGAGAAUGGAAAAUGGAGCAAGAGAGUUGAAGCUGGUAGAAUAAUUCAAUGCUAUUACCAUAAUUCUAAUAGGUGAAGAUGCUACUUGGACAGUGAAGACAAAAAAAUGGAGUUGGAUUUGAGAUAUGUCUUGAAAGUAGAACCAAUGGGACUUGCUGAAUGAUUGACUGUAGGGCAUGAGGAGAGAGACAAAUCAAAAAUGACCAUUAGAUAUUUUAGCGGAGCACUUAAGUGGAAGAUGUACCAUUUACUCAGAUGAAGAUGCAGUGCGGUGGAGGACGAAAGCUUUAGGGAUGGGGGUAAGGCAUUAGGAAUCAAGUAUUCCAUUUUGGAUGGGUUAAGUCCAAUACGCCUGUAAGAUAUCCAAGUGUCCAAGAUGAGUACCAAGUAAAAUUGUUUAUAUAAGUUUGGAAUGGAGAUACAGAUCUGGGAGUCAUAAGCACAUAGAUGGUGUUGAAAGCCAUGGAACUAGGAGAAGAGAGCCAAGAUCCAAGCCCGGAAGCAUUAAGAGGUGAACCAAGGGCCUUUUACCGGACACUGGAUAACAGACUUGCUCACAGUAAGCAAUUAUUUAUGGAAUGGAAUUGGCUAAGACAUAUUAGACCCAGCACUUAAACAGAAUACAUUCAUAGCUGUUCAAAGCUACUCAAGGAAUUUGAGGACAGAAGAGCCUGAGAUGAGAUGUAAAGGCGUAGUCAGCAACGAAAUGGCCAUUUGCUUAAGAAUGUGGGAGAAUUUAAACAUUAGAUUUUCACAGAGAAUUCCUGUGAAAGAGAAUGAAAAUGGAACAUUAUUCUUUACUCGAUAUUUUAUUAUACAGAAAGGAAAACUGUGAUGCCAUGUUGUCUUUGGAAAUUAUUUAAUCUUUUUAAUCCUUGAUUUCCUCAUCUAUAAAAUGGGAAUAAUAACAAUAUUUACCUCAGUUCAUGAGGAAUAGAAGUACAUGUAACAGGCUUAACCCAGUGGCUGGCCCAUAGUCAGCACUCAAUAAAUAUUGCCUAUCACAAUAAUCAUUAUCAUCAGUAUCAUUUCUCAUGGACAAUGCAAAAUGCUUCAUAGGCAUCUGAAAAUAUUUAUUCUUAAUUUAUUGGACAAAUAUAUAAAUUGUAUAAAAAUUGAUUAUUCGAUCAUUCCAGGCAUGUAUAGACCACUUCUUUUUAAUUUAUUUAAUCCAUUAGUUUCUG